UGAAUUACAAAACUUUAUUGACUUGUUAAAAACAUGAAUGAAUUCAGCAAGUACAUUUAUGGUCUAUCCACAUUGUUAAAACAGUACUUAAAAAUAAAAUAAAAAUGAUUAUCCAUUAUUUACAGGAAAUGUGGAAAAAUGACUUUAAGACCUGGAACAUUAUGGGGAACAAAACAGGGCAUGAGAAUGAUUCACAGGCUGCCUAUAUGGAUUACAGCAAAUGGAUUUAAACAUGACAUGAGUGAAACUCAAAGAUCUGUCUUUCUCUGGAGUCUCCUGCUAUUUUUUUCCAUUUGCAUACUAACGACCAGCCCGAGGCUCCAAACCACAUUAGUUUGUAUUCAACUCAGGGUGAUCUCACUGUCAAAAUU
rnacentral:lncRNA from 1 species